rnacentral:rRNA from 1 species
AUUGAACGCUGGCGGCAUGCCUUACACAUGCAAGUCGAACGGCAGCACGGGAGCAAUCCUGGUGGCGAGUGGCGAACGGGUGAGUAAUAUAUCGGAACGUGCCCAGUCGUGGGGGAUAACGCAGCGAAAGCUGUGCUAAUACCGCAUACGAUCUACGGAUGAAAGCGGGGGAUCGCAAGACCUCGCGCGAUUGGAGCGGCCGAUAUCGAAUUAGCUAGUUGGUGGGGUAAAGGCCCACAAAGGCGACGGUCUGUAGCUGGUCUGAGAGGACGACCAGCCACACUGGAACUGGGACACGGUCCAGACUCCUACGGGAGGCAGCAGUGGGGAAUUUUGGACAAUGGGCGAAAGCCUGAUCCAGCAAUGCCGCGUGCAGGACGAAGGCCUUCGGGUUGUAAACUGCUUUUGUACGGAACGAAACGGUCUCUUCUAAUAAAGGGGGCUAAUGACGGUACCGUAAGAAUAAGCACCGGCUAACUACGUGCCAGCAGCCGCCGUAA